rnacentral:lncRNA from 1 species
UUGUGAUUGGUGGGUUCUGCCGCGGCCGGGAAGUUCGAACAGAAGUCUGGGGAAGAGCCGGCGAAGAGCAAAGAGAUAAUACAGUACUCCCAGCUAUAGCAAGCGGCAGUUAUGGAGCAUGCGCAGCAGCAGGGGCGGCCGCAGGUCGCCGUUCAAUAAUACUCAAGGGAUUUGUACAGCCCUGUAGGAGACACCUCCAGAGAAAGUAACAGCUCUCAAUUGAUUAGCUGAGAAUAAACAGAUGCUUUUACAGCUCGCCUUGGCGGGAAGAUCUGGCACAAAUGAAGUAUCUAUAAGGAGCAGCAGAGUCAAGGUGGUGAUCCUGUGGAUGAAUAACUGAAACCUGAUAUACUUGACAGCAGAAAAUAUAAAGCAAAUUGAAAAGGAGAGAGUGUGGAGAUAAAUAAGAAAAUGAAAGAACUGAUAAAGUCACUUGGAUUAAAAAACCUGGGAGUAAGGGCUUUGUUUAUGAUUGAACUUAAGAGAGAAUUGAGGGACCACCUACCUUUGAUGUUAACGAGAAAGUAAAGAGGAAACAUAUUUAGAGAUACCCUUUGGUGAAAAACAGAAAUGGAUGUGUCAUUUGAUGCAUCACAUUAUUUAUUCAACAAACUCUUAGUGAGAACUUACUGUGUAUGAAAGACUGGACUGAAACAUAUAUAAGAAAUAAUUUUUGGCCCAAGGAAUUUAUAGUAUAAUUGAGGAAACAAAUACAAAUCACUUCUGCAAAGUAGCAGAGACACAGAUGAGGAAUUGUAAUGUUUGUAAAAUCAAAGUGGUGGGAGUAGUCAAAAAAGUGUUUACAGAAUGGUAUUCAAAAUGGGCCUGAAGGCAGAAAUCAGACUGGUUGUUACCUGGAAAACAAGGAGAGAAAGGACAAGGCAGGAGAAGAGAACAAGUACAAAGGCAUGUGGGGGUAGGAAGGCAUGGCAUGGGUAGAAAAUGCCAGUUAAAUUGACAUUGUGGGAAAAUAACGAGUUUAGCGUAUGGGGGCAUAGCAAAUAAUGACUCUGGUUUCGGCAAAACCCCAGGGGAAAGAAAAUGAGAUCCUGAACUAUGGCAGUAACAGAGGGGAGUGGGAAAAGAGGAUUAACUAGAGAAAUAUUUAGAAACUAAGAAUCUCAGGAUUUAGUACUUCUUGGGGAAGCCAUCGUGAAUGCUGGCUCUCAAGCUGCAUUAUCAACAAACAAAAAUAUUGAUACCUUAAAGUUAAAGUCCCACCCUCCUUUUAGAGACUGUAAGACAUAGUUCUAUCUUGUCUCACAUCUCUACCUCUGUUAAUCUCCAUUUGGGCCAAGCAUCCUCAACAUGCCUAUUCUCAUAUUCCUCCAAUUACAACCUCCAGGGUCUUCAUGUUGCAGAACUCACGGAGUUGGAUUCUAUGUGAAUUGUAAAUCGGGUACAAGGUGCAUAAUGCCCUAUUUACCUUUUCCUUAGCUUCCAAAUUCUUUUAUCAUGAUCUCCAAAAUGCCACCCAGCAUGUCUAACUCUGCGAUCAACAAAACACCGUAUGACCUCAACCUCUUUCCUGAGGUUUCUUGCAUUAAUGGAAGUUGCCCUGAGCUCUGAUGUCCUUGCUUCUCUUGCAGCCCUCCCACGUCGAAGCGGUUUUUUCCUUCACCUUUUUUUUAAGUAUUUUAAAAUUUAUUUUCAUGCCUUUAACACCUUAUGAAUUUGUGUGAAUCAUUCAAGAUUACAUCUGCCUUCCUUUCAAACUAGCUAUGAGAUAUUUGAUUCACCUUGACAAACUGUUCAUUCUACACAACUGGCAAUCUCCACAGUUCAUUCUCUCAGUUGGGUUGAUUCCAACCUCCUCAGAAAAGGGUAUCAAUGGAAUAAGGGUUUUUAAUUUUUAACUUUUUUUUCUUUUUUUUUGAGACAGAGUCUCACUCU